CUUUUCAGGAAAACACCAUGGGAAAGAAGAUGCAGACAAAAAUGUGACCAGUUAUUAAAGAAGAAAACGGUAGCUUUGUAAGCAGAUUUUUUUCUUUGUAAAUGCUGUGAUAUGUAGCUAUUGGUAAGCAAUAAAGCGCUUUGGAAAUGUUUGUCCCUCAGGUUGCUGCUUAUUCCUCACUUAUAUCCCAUAUAUGCAACUGAAUU
rnacentral:lncRNA from 1 species